rnacentral:rRNA from 1 species
CUGCCAAAGCUAAAUGCUGAAGGCCGGUAUGAAUGGCGUCACGAAGGCCCCACUGUCUUAAGAGGACUCUCCAUGAAAUUGAAUUCGUAGUGAAGAUGCUACGUCCAUAUUGUAAGACGAAAAGACCCCAUUGAGCUUUACUAAAGACUUGCAUGGCUCAAAAUAAUUUGAUUUAAAUAAAGAGUUUAGAUAAUGUGGGAUCCGUUUUCGGUUAAUGAAACACCACUCUUUUAUUUUAAGAGAGCUAACAUUACAGGGAUAGUGUAAGUUGGAUAGUUUGGUUGGGGCGACCACCUUUUAAAAGGUAACGAAGGUGAGCUUAAGGUCCGUAGUUAAUAGCCGGUGGCCUGACUGCAAGGGGGACGUCUCGAGCAGACACGUCCUUAGGGAUGUGGACUAUAGUGACCCGUCAUC